GCUCGUAGGCGGUUUGUCGCGUCUGCUGUGAAAACUCAGGGCUUAACCCUGAGCCUGCAGUGGGUACGGGCAGACUAGAGUGUGGUAGGGGAGAUCGGAAUUCCUGGUGUAGCGGUGGAAUGCGCAGAUAUCAGGAGGAACACCGGUGGCGAAGGCGGAUCUCUGGGCCAUAACUGACGCUGAGGAGCGAAAGCAUGGGGAGCGAACAGGAUUAGAUACCCUGGUAGUCCAUGCCGUAAACGUUGGGCGCUAGGUGUGGGGCUCAUUCCACGAGUUCCGUGCCGCAGCUAACGCAUUAAGCGCCCCGCCUGGGGAGUACGGCCGCAAGGCUAAAACUCAAAGGAAUUGACGGGGGCCCGCACAAGCGGCGGAGCAUGCGGAUUAAUUCGAUGCAACGCGAAGAACCUUACCAAGGCUUGACAUACAGGGAAAACUGUCAGAGAUGGCAGGUCCGCAAGGGUCCUGUACAGGUGGUGCAUGGUUGUCGUCAGCUCGUGUCGUGAGAUGUUGGGUUAAGUCCCGCAACGAGCGCAACCCUCGUUCUAUGUU
rnacentral:rRNA from 1 species